rnacentral:snoRNA from 1 species
GUAUCCAUGGUGUGGACAUUGCAAUAAAAGUGAUUUGAAGCAAUCCUAUGCUUCAUGAAAAGGUUCAGUAUUCUUUUAAUAAAAAUUAGAAAUUUUAACUCUUAAUUC